rnacentral:rRNA from 1 species
UACGAAGGGGGCUAGCGUUGUUCGGAAUUACUGGGCGUAAAGCGUGCGCAGGCGGCUUUCCAAGUCAGUGGUGAAAGCCCGGAGCUCAACUCCGGAAAUGCCAUUGAAACUGUGAAGCUUGAGAACGAGAGAGGUGAGUGGAAUUCCCAGUGUAGAGGUGAAAUUCGUAGAUAUUGGGAAGAACACCAGUGGCGAAGGCGGCUACCUGGACAAUUGCUGACGCUCAGGCACGAAAGCGUGGGGAGCAAAAGGG